AACGAACGCUGGCGGCAUGCCUAACACAUGCAAGUCGAACGAGACCUUCGGGUCUAGUGGCGCACGGGUGCGUAACGCGUGGGAACCUGCCCUUAGGUUCGGAAUAACUACCCGAAAGGGGUGCUAAUACCGGAUAAUGUCUUCGGACCAAAGAUUUAUCGCCUUUGGAUGGGCCCGCGUUGGAUUAGCUAGUUGGUAGGGUAAAAGCCUACCAAGGCGACGAUCCAUAGCUGGUCUGAGAGGAUGAUCAGCCACACUGGGACUGAGACACGGCCCAGACUCCUACGGGAGGCAGCAGUGGGGAAUAUUGGACAAUGGGCGAAAGCCUGAUCCAGCAAUGCCGCGUGAGUGAUGAAGGCCUUAGGGUUGUAAAGCUCUUUUACCCGGGAUGAUAAUGACAGUACCGGGAGAAUAAGCUCCGGCUAACUCCGUG
rnacentral:rRNA from 1 species